rnacentral:rRNA from 1 species
CGUGAGCAAUCUGCCUUGGAGUGGGGAAUAACGGCUGGAAACAGCCGCUAAUACCGCAUGACGCGUCUGGGAGGCAUCUCUCUGGACGCCAAAGAUUUAUCGCUCUGAGAUGAGCUCGCGUCUGAUUAGCUAGUUGGCGGGGUAACGGCCCACCAAGGCGACGAUCAGUAGCCGGACUGAGAGGUUGGCCGGCCACAUUGGGACUGAGACACGGCCCAGACUCCUACGGAAGGCAGCAG